rnacentral:rRNA from 1 species
UACAGAGGGUGCAAGCGUUGCUCGGAAUUACUGGGCGUAAAGCGUGCGCAGGCGGUUCGUUGUGUCGGCGGUGAAAGCCCCGGGCUUAACCUGGGAAUGGCAUUUGGGACUGCAAGGCUUGAGUGCGGCAGAGGAGACUGGAAUUCCUGGUGUAGCAGUGAAAUGCGUAGAUAUCUGGAGGAACACCGGUGGCGAAGGCGGCAUCCUGGACCGGCAUUGACGCUGAGGAGCGAAAGCCAGGGGAGCAAACGGG